UGCCUUAGUAACGGCGAGUGAAGCGGCAACAGCUCAAAUUUGAAAGCUGGCCCUUUCAGGGUCCGCAUUGUAAUUUGUAGAGGAUGAUUCGGCGAGGGCUCCCGCCUAAGUCCCCUGGAACGGGGCGUCAUAGAGGGUGAGAAUCCCGUAUGCGGUGGGCUGCCUUAGCCAUGUGAAUCUCCUUCGACGAGUCGAGUUGUUUGGGAAUGCAGCUCUAAAUGGGAGGUAAAUUUCUUCUAAAGCUAAAUACCGGCCAGAGACCGAUAGCGCACAAGUAGAGUGAUCGAAAGAUGAAAAGCACUUUGGAAAGAGAGUUAAAAAGUACGUGAAAUUGUUGAAAGGGAAGCGCUUGCAACCAGACUUGUCCGCAGUUGCUCAGCCGGUCUCCUGACCGGCGUACUCUUCUGCGGCCAGGCCAGCAUCAGUUCGGGCGGUCGGAUAAAGACCUCGGGAAUGUAGCUCCUCUCGGGGAGUGUUAUAGCCCGGGGUGGAAUGCGGCCAGCCUGGACUGAGGAUCUCGCUUCGGCAAGGAUGCUGGCGUAAUGGUUGUAAGCGGCCCGUCUUGAAACACGGACCAAGGAGUCUAACAUCUAUGCGAGUGUUUGGGUGUCAAACCCAUACGCGUAAUGAAAGUGAACGGAGGUGGGAACCCGCAAGGGUGCACCAUCGGCCGAUCCUGAUGUCUUCGGAUGGAUUUGAGCAAGAGCAUAGCUGUUGGGACCCGAAAGAUGGUGAACUAUGCCUGAAUAGGGUGAAGCCAGAGGAAACUCUGGUGGAGGCUCGCAGCGGUUCUGACGUGCAAAUCGAUCGUCACAUUUCGGUAUAGGGG
rnacentral:rRNA from 1 species